AGAAAUUUGUUGAUUUCUUCAAGUUUUGGAUUAAUCUGCUGCUGAUUGUUUCAGGAAGUUGCUUCUGGCGAUAUUCCCUACUCCGAGUUACGAAUGUCAGAAAAAGCAGAGCUUGCAGCGGUGAGGGCGUACUUUGGAGUGCCGUGGCCGCAACGUAAUGAGGGAUUAUCCUACCAUGACAUCGUCCGACCCACCGAUGCUGGUCUUACAUUGAUCGAAUUCUACUUUAGGAAGUACAAAAAUUCAGCUCCUUUACAAGGUUGGUUGCAGAGAAUUCAAA
rnacentral:misc_RNA from 1 species